GCCUACGUGGCGCAACGGUAGCGCAGUCGAUUUGUAAUCGACGGUCAGCGGGUUCGAAUCCCCUCGCGGGCUCCA
rnacentral:tRNA from 1 species